UUAAAGAUUGUGUGGUGUGGUGGUUGGCUUGGUCCACCCCCAUGAGCCAUCUGUGGGCGAGUCUCCUCUUGAGAAUCAAGUGAGGGAGAUUGAUUUCACCCGGGGGGAAGACAUUUAAUUGACCUGAUGUGAAAGACAAGGGAGAAAAAGACUGGUACGAGAUGCAAGAGGGCCGUGUGCGUGCGUGACGCUGUGUGUUGCUCGAGGCCGAUAGGGUCUGUCCGGCAGUUUGGGUUUGGACAGAUAGUGGGGGGACGUUAGGAGCGCUGGCCAAUGGCUCGUGUGGUUGCGAGCAUACACUCUAAAAAAUGCUGGGUUAUUUGUUUAACCCAACAGCUGGGUUGAGCCUGUUGGGUCAUUUUGUUGGGUUAUUUUCUUAGUGUUGGGUCAUUUUUUGAGUAACCCAAACGCUGGGUUACCAGUCGGGUCCAAUUGAGUGACAGUUGAGAGAGUAAACCCCUCCCACUCCUCGACGCAUCAGACAAACUUUACCUUCGCGGGCAUUUUGAUCCACUUCAUCUCGGAAAGCUGUUAUUCGGAGAAUAAAAGGUUGCAGAAUAACAGCUAAUAUUAAUGGAUCAUUCUAUUCAAGAGAAAGUCAACUGGAACGUGGAUGUUUUCAUAACAGGCUUAAAGAUGAAUAAAUUGAUAAAGAAACCCUCCUGCUGGACAUCCACUUCCAAAAGUGCACGCCACACUGUUGUCUACAACUCCCAGUAAAAGAAUCCUCUUUAGUAAGACUGCUCCGUGGAUAUGUCAGGUUAAGCAGUGCUGAAACUGAAAGAACUAACACUAUUUAAAAUGUUUUGUGAGUUUAUAUGAAGAGGAAAGUUACGGUGUCCCUUUUUCACAUCCAUAACGCUUGUUUAUUUCUUUUUUUAUAGAAAACUUGUGCAUAGACUUAUAUUUUAUCAUAUAAAUGCGGUUCUAUCAACAAGGGUUUAGUAAAAUACUUUUUAUAGUGUUUUUAUGUCGCAUCCAUAACGCUGGAAUUGCCCUAAAGCAUUUUACUCGUGCCACUUUGUUAACUGUAUAUGAAUUUUUGAAGUGUUAAGUUGUCUAACUAUUUAUAUUUACUUGUGCCACUUUAAUAACCUUGUUAAAUGUAUAUGUUAAAAUCUAAACUAAUGUAAUUUAUUGAAGUUAAUUUUUCUUAAAUAUGUAUAAACAUACAUUUCAUCAAAGUGUUUUAUAUGCCAUUUUAUUGUUCAUUGAGCAUAACAUAUUGCAUGUUUUUAUGAAUUCCUUUUGUCUUGCAUUUUGAUCCUUAAUAAAACUUUUGAUUCUUACUGAUGCCUCGAGUAUUUCUCUGUGAUUUUGUUAUUAUUAUUUUUAAACAUUUCGGGUUUGUUUUAAACCAUCAAUGUAAUUUUUAAGCAAAAGUUGAUUUAAAUAAAACAACCCAGCAUGUUGGGUCAAAGAUAU